UUCAAAGGCUUUACAGAGGCAGCAUGUCCUGUGUCAUUCAGUGUGGGGAGUGGGAGUCAAAUGAUUUUCUCAUCUCUGUGGACAGAUUGACUUUCUUAAGUGUCAGGAAGUAAUAAAGCUGCCGUUGAGGCUUGUUUUAAUCAGAGCAGUUGAGUUGCCUGUCCAAGUGAAGUCCUCCAAGACAUCCAUCACCAGAAAUUUAAACGAGGAGGCUCUCCCCAUUGUUGCUUCUUUGAUAAUUAGUGGAGAGAGGUCUUCUUUGUGUUUCCCCAAAGUCCAUAGUGAUUUCUUUUGUCUUCGAUGCCUCAUGUUAGGUUCUUUUCUGUGCACCAGCCCUUCAGUUUACAGAUUUUGUUAUUUUAAACUGCCUCAUUGCUCUUAGAAAUGAGACUAGCCACUGUCAUCUGCAAUUUAACAGUGUUUGUUUAAUCACAGGGAAAUUAAGUGGUGAAAAUUCUGAGGUAUACUUAGCGUAAAAAAUACAACAAAACACUGAGACUCCCAUACUGCCAUGUGUAAGGUUUCCUGGUGGACUUAAAAUGCCGACUCACAGAUAAAGAAUUCAGAGUAUUUAUUUACAAUGAAAGAUUCAAUAGCAAAUGACAACAGCAAGAUUUUGUAGUUAGUGAUAAGCUAAAACUCCUAAACAGGGAGGUCGAUAACGUCCCGGUCCAGCUGUCGUGUACAGAAUCUUGCAGAAGGUUAGUCAAGGUGGGGGACAAUGGAUGUUUUUAUCCAGCUUAAGUAAGGAACAGCUGAUGACACAAUCAGGCACAGGUGAGGUAAUCAGCCCAGGUGCUGAUGGCAGGGAGCAGGAGGAAGAUUUGUCUCUAAAACACAGGAUGUGGUUAGCAGGCGGGCAGGCGGGCAGGCGCACAUAUACAGGUUAAGACAAGGCAUGCAUGCCCUAACAUUUGGGUAGGAAAGGUGACCUAAAAUUGUCAUCACUCACCUUUUAGACACUCAUUAGAGUGUCUGUUUUCUGUGUCUUAUUAGUAUACUCUGAAUUGGUUUGACUGUAUACAGAUUGUGGUAUGAUUACCAGUAGCCUAACUUUACAGGAAAAACAGUAAUCUUGAUCCAGGUGCUGUGUCUCUGAGUAGACUUUAUCAGGUCAGUAAAUCGCCCUGCCUAGACUCUAAUUACAGGCUACCAAUGGCCCAGUUGUCAUAGUCAUUUAAAUCCCCAAGCCCACGGAGCGAUCUGGUGCAAAAUAAACAACCUUGGGCUUUGUGUAUAAGAGGCACAGGGGAGAAGAAGAAGACAAUCCAAGAAUGGUUCUGUGAUUCGUGUUUAUCCUGCUCUUCUAGGGAUCUCUACACAGGAUCUUCACAAUUUUUUGGAGGGAAGGGAGGCCACCAUUUCUAUAGAGUAAAGCUAUCGUUCUGUUUUCACCAAAAUCUUGGCCAGGAGGAAAAAGAGAAGGAGGAAGAGUGAUGCUUUGGGAGCAAGCAUGAAGAAUCCAUUUGCUUCAGUAGCAGUGCUGGUGUGAGCAACAGACAGCGGCAGGGGGAUAUUAGGAGCUGAUAUCUUGCCUCCUCAUUCAUCCCUGAUAACACACAGCAGGAUGACGGCUCUGCUAUUUCUGCUGCUGCUGCUGAGAUGAUUGCUGUUAUUAUCUGGCUGCUGGAAGCUUCUGUUUAGAGCUCCUGGAUUGUCACUGCAGACCAAUCAGUCAUUAUCAGUGAUAGAUUUAUGGAGCUCCUGCUGGGUAACAUUAGUGUUUGUUCAGCUAUAGUCAGCUGAUGAUACACAAGGACAUUUAUCAUGUAUGCAUCAAAUGUGUUAAGUAGAAAAUAGAUAAUAUUAUGGAUAUGGCAUUGUGUCUUUUAUCCCAGCACAAAUGUGAUGAUGGUUUCUAACAAGUUUAAAUGUCAAACAGACUGAUUUCAAAAGUGGCUAAACAGUGUAUGGAGUAUUAGUUCCUUAUAGUAUGGUUUAACUUUAUAUCAAAUGGUUUUUAGGAUCAAGUUUUAGUUUUAGAUGCUAUUAUUUACCAUAAAAGUAUUUUGUUUCCCUGCUUUGGGUAGCAAAGCAGUGCAUGAACAAACAACUCUGACUGGUUUUAGGGGUCACCAGUGUGGAUCAUCUACCUCCAUCUCACCCUGUCUCUAGCAUCUUCUUCUUUCACACCAACACUCUCCAUGUCCUCCUUCACUACAUCCAUACAUCUUUUAUGCUGUCUUUCACUUAUUCUCUUGCCUGGGAGAUUAAUCAUCCUUUGUCCAGUAUAUCCACUAACUGCUUGUCCAACUAUGUCCAAACUAUCACAACUUAACCUCACUGCCUUUGUCUCCAAAUUGCUCAAGUUGUCUCUGUGAUGCACUUAUUUAUAGUUUUUUUCAUCUUGGUCACUCCCAGUGAAAAUCACCACAUCUUCGAAUCUACCACCUCCAGCUCCUCUUCUUGUCUGAGAGAGUCACCACCAUCUCAUCGUAAAAACCAGCACAGCGAGACUUUAAAGUGAUCGCCAUAGUGAUUUGACUUUAGAAACAUGAGGAGGUAGAAACAGAGGCUGCAGCCUGACUGCCUUUGUUACUUGUUGAAGUUCAGGGUCUGGCUGCUGGGCUGGUCACCAUUCACUCAAUCUUAACAUCUCUCUGGAUUCUUUGCUAGCCUAACUUUAGCAUGUCUGUGCAGGUACUUGCAAAGAGCUUGUUAGAAGCAUAAUAUUGCUGUCAACUGAGCCCUCAGUUAUUUCUGUCCUGAAUGCAAGACAGAAACAACUUUAACUUCCACUUUAUUAUUGCACUCUCAUCUAUUUGUGCAAUAAAAGAAAUGUUUAUAUCCACGUUGUGGACUGAGCCACUAUUUUCCUCCUCUGGCACACAAA